GCCGCAGUGAUAGCUUAGUUGGUAGGCGCCAGGUGAGAGAUUGCAAUGCUCAGAGACAUAUCUGCGCGGGUUCGAAUCCCACUUCUGGCU